AUUGAACGCUGGCGGCAGGCCUAACACAUGCAAGUCGAACGGAAACACGGAGAAGCUUGCUUCUUUGCUGUCGCGUGGCGGACGGGUGUGACAUGUCUGUGAACCUGCUUGAUGGCGGGGGUAACCUCCUGGAAACGGUACCUAAUACCGCAUAACGUUGCAACAGCAAGGUGGGGUACCUUAGGGCGGUUUUCCUUUGACUGAUACCAGAUGCCAGUCGGCAUUAGCUAGUUGGUAGGGUAACGGCUUACCAAGUCAACGAUGCGUAGCCGAUCUGAGAGGAUGAUCAGCCACACUGGAACUGAGACACGGUCCAGACUCCUACGGGAGGCAGCAGUAGGGAAUCUUGCACAAUGGGCGAAAGCCUGAUGGAGCCAUGCCGCGUGUAUGAAGAAGGCCUUCGGGUUGUAAAGUACUUUUAGCGGGGAGGAAGGGAGGAAUGUGUAUCCCUGCGCGCAUUGACGUUACCCGCAGAGGAAGCACCGGCUAACUCCGUG
rnacentral:rRNA from 1 species